GAGUCCCUACGGGGCGCAGCAGUGAGGAAUAUUGGUCAAUGGCCGAGAGGCUGAACCAGCCAAGUAGCGUGCAGGAUGACGGCCCUCGUGGUUGUAAACUGCUUUUAGUCGGGAAUAAAAGGGGGUUCGUGAAUCCCGUAUUGUAUGUACCGUCAGAAAAAGGACCGGCUAAUUACGUGCCAGCAGCCGCGGUAAUACGGAAGGUCCGGGCGUUAUCCGGAUUUAUUGGGUUUAAAGGGAGCGUAGGCGGGCCGUUAAGUCAGUUAUGACAGUUCGGGGCUCAACCCCGGAAUUGCAGUUGAAAC
rnacentral:rRNA from 1 species